AUUGAACGCUGGCGGCAGGCCUAACACAUGCAAGUCGAGCGGAUGAAGGGAGCUUGCUCCUGGAUUCAGCGGCGGACGGGUGAGUAAUGCCUAGGAAUCUGCCUGGUAGUGGGGGAUAACGUCCGGAAACGGGCGCUAAUACCGCAUACGUCCUGAGGGAGAAAGUGGGGGAUCUUCGGACCUCACGCCAUCAGAUGAGCCUAGGUCGAAUUAGCUAGUUGGUGGGGUAAAGGCCUACCAAGGCGACGAUCCGUAACUGGUCUGAGAGGAUGAUCAGUCACACUGGAACUGAGACACGGUCCAGACUCCUACGGGAGGCAGCAGUGGGGAAUAUUGGACAAUGGGCGAAAGCCUGAUCCAGCCAUGCCGCGUGUGUGAAGAAGGUCUUCGGAUUGUAAAGCACUUUAAGUUGGGAGGAAGGGCAGUAAGUUAAUACCUUGCUGUUUUGACGUUACCAACAGAAUAAGCACCGGCUAACUUCGUG
rnacentral:rRNA from 1 species